rnacentral:rRNA from 1 species
CCUACGGGUGGCUGCAGUGGGGAAUAUUGCACAAUGGGGGAAACCCUGAUGCAGCGACGCCGCGUGAGGGAAGAAGGUUUUCGGUAUGUAAAGCCCUUUUAGCAGGGAAGAUAAUGACGGUAUCCGACGAAGAAGCCCCGGCCAAAACCGUGCCAGCAGCCGCCGUAAUACGUAGGGGGCAAGCGUUAUUCGGAAUUACUGGGGGUAAAGGGAGCGUAGGCGGGAGAGCAAGGCUGGUGUGAAAUCCUGGGGCUUAACCCGGGAACUGCAUGUGAAACUGUGGGUCUGGAGUGUAGGAGAGGUAGGUGGAAUUCCUGGUGUAGCGGUGAAAUGCGUAGAUAUUAGGAGGAACACCGGUGGCGAAGGCGGCCUGCUGGACUGUAACUGACGCUGAGGCUCGAAAGCGUGGGGAGCAAACAGGAUUAGAUACCCUUGUAGUC